rnacentral:rRNA from 1 species
GACGAACGCUGGCGGCGUGCUUAACACAUGCAAGUCGAACGAAGAGCGAUGGAAGCUUGCUUCUAUCAAUCUUAGUGGCGAACGGGUGAGUAACGCGUAAUCAACCUGCCCUUCAGAGGGGGACAACAGUUGGAAACGAAUGCUAAUACCGCAUACGAUCCAAUCUCGGCAUCGGGACUGGAUGAAAGGUGGCCUCUAUUUAUAAGCUAUCACUGAAGGAGGGGAUUGCGUCUGAUUAGCUAGUUGGAGGGGUAACGGCCCACCAAGGCGAUGAUCAGUAGCCGGUCUGAGAGGAUGAACGGCCACAUUGGGACUGAGACACGGCCCAGACUCCUACGGGAGGCAGCAGUGGGGAAUCUUCCGCAAUGGACGAAAGUCUGACGGAGCAACGCCGCGUGAGUGAUGACGGCCUUCGGGUUGUAAAGCUCUGUUAAUCGGGACGAAUGGUUCUUGUGCGAAUAGUGCGAGGAUUUGACGGUACCGGAAUAGAAAGCCACGGCUAACUACGUG